UAGGGAAUCUUCGGCAAUGGGGGCAACCCUGACCGAGCAACGCCGCGUGAGUGAAGAAGGUUUUCGGAUCGUAAAGCUCUGUUGUAAGAGAAGAACGAGUGUGAGAGUGGAAAGUUCACACUGUGACGGUAACUUACCAGAAAGGGACGGCUAACUACGUGCCAGCAGCCGCGGUAAUACGUAGGUCCCGAGCGUUAUCCGGAUUUAUUGGGCGUAAAGCGAGCGCAGGCGGUUAGAUAAGUCUGAAGUUAAAGGCUGUGGCUUAACCAUGGUACGCUUUGGAAACUGUUUAACUUGAGUGCAGAAGGGGAGAGUGGAAUUCCAUGUGUAGCGGUGAAAUGCGUAGAUAUAUGGAGGAACACCGGUGGCGAAAGCGGCUCUCUGGUCUGUAACUGACGCUGAGGCUCGAAAGCGUGGGGAGCAAACAGGAUUAGAUACCCUGGUAGUCCACGCCGUAAACGAUGAGUGCUAGGUGUUGGGUCCUUUCCGGGACUCAGUGCCGCAGCUAACGCAUUAAGCACUCCGCCUGGGGAGUACGACCGCAAGGUUG
rnacentral:rRNA from 1 species